rnacentral:rRNA from 1 species
UACGGGGGGGCAAGCGUUGUUCGGAAUUACUGGGCGUAAAGGGCUCGUAGGCGGGUCUUUAAGUCAGGGGUGAAAUCCUGGAGCUCAACUCCAGAACUGCCUUUGAUACUGAAGAUCUCGAGUCCGGGAGAGGUGAGUGGAACUGCGAGUGUAGAGGUGAAAUUCGUAGAUAUUCGCAAGAACACCAGUGGCGAAGGCGGCUCACUGGCCCGGUACUGACGCUGAGGCGCGAAAGCGUGGGGAGCAAACAGG